rnacentral:rRNA from 1 species
GAUGAACGCUGGCGGCGUGCCUAAUACAUGCAAGUCGAGCGAACGGACGAGAAGCUUGCUUCUCUGAUGUUAGCGGCGGACGGGUGAGUAAGACGUGGAUAACCUACCUAUAAGACUGGGAUAACUUCGGGAAACCGGAGCUACUACCGGAUAAUAUUUUGAACCGCAUGGUUCAAAAGUGAAAGACGGUCUUGCUGUCACUUAUAGAUGGAUCCGCGCUGCAUUAGCUAGUUGGUAAGGUAACGGCUUACCAAGGCAACGAUGCAUAGCCGACCUGAGAGGGUGAUCGGCCACACUGGAACUGAGACACGGUCCAGACUCCUACGGGAGGCAGCAGUAGGGAAUCUUCCGCAAUGGGCGAAAGCCUGAUGGAGCAACGCCGCGUGAGUGAUGAAGGUCUUCGGAUCGUAAAACUCUGUUAUUAGGGAAGAACAUAUGUGUAAGUAACUGUGCACAUCUUGACGGUACCUAAUCAGAAAGCCCCGGCUAACUACGUG